rnacentral:lncRNA from 1 species
CUCAUACAUAACUCAAACCCCCAAAUAAGACCAAAGAUACACUCAGGUGAAAAAUGACUCCAACAGUUCUUUCUCUGGAGGUGGAGAGCCUUGCCCAUCUUUAGUCUUUCAAGAUUGUCCCAAUCACUGCACUGCAGACAGUAGCCAAGUUUUCACAGAUAAUCAUCAUCCAGCAUUGCUAUUAUUGUGACAAUGUUCAAGUUCUGCUUAUUUCAUUUGGCAUCAGUUCCCACAGAUCUUUCAAAUUUUUUUCUGGAAUCACCUUGCUUAUCAUUUCUUAGAGCACAACAGUAUUCCAUCACAUGUACCACAACUUGUUCAGCCAUUUCUCAACUGAUGGACAUCACAUCAAUUUCCAAUUCUUUGCCACCACAAAAAGAGCAGCUAUAAUUAUUUUUGUGCAAGUAGGUCCUUUCCCUUUAAACCAGUGCUUUAUAAAGAUUAGUUUAGUGGCAGAAUGGAGGAUGGGUUGGAGUCAAGAUUGACUUGAGGCAGGCAGAUGCAUCAACAGACUCUUGCAGUCAUCAUCCAUAUUUGAGGUUAUGAGGAGGUCCACCAGGGUGGUGUCAGUGUCAAAGAAGAGAAGGAGACAUACUUGAGAGAUGUCAUAUAGGUGAAAUAGACCUUGUUAGCAGCUUGGAUAUGGGGGCAAGAGAUAGUAAGAGACUGCUGGACGACUCCUAGGUUGAGAGAGAGUUGGUAGAUGGAGGGGAUGGUGUUGCUUUCUUUUUUUGUUUUUUUUUUUACAUUUUUGUAAAUAUGUGCCUUUUAAAUUUGUUAUAAUUAGCAACCCAAAGACCAAAACUAUUGAAAUCAUUUGGCAAAGGUUUUUGCAAAAUUUACAAAAUGAACCCUAAUCCUAAUAGGCUUUUAAAAAAAUUUCUGUGAAAAUAAUGAAAAAGGAGAGCAUUUUUUUAAAACUAGUUUUUUAAAAAAAUUGCAAAGUUUGCUAUUUGGUUAUAAUUUUUUCCUUCCCUUCCCUUCUCUUUCCUUCAAUUUCCCUUCCCUUCCCGUCCCUUCCUUUCAUUUCCUUUUUCCCUCCAUCCUUUUUCUACCUUCCUUCCUUCCUUCCUUCCUUCCUUCCUUCCUUCCUUCCUUCCUUUCUUUCUUUCUUUCUUUCUUUCUUUCUUCUUUCCUUCCUUCCUUCCUUUCUUUCUCUCUCUCUCUCUCUUUCUUUCUCUCUCUCUUUCUCUCUUUCUCUUUCUCUCUUUCUCUUUCUUCCUUCCUUCCUUCCUUCCUUCCUUCCUUCCUUCCUUCCUUCCUUCUUUCCUUCCUUCCUUCCUUCCUUCCUUCCUUCCUUCCUUCCUUCCUUCCUUCCUUCCUUCCUUCCUUCCUUCCUUCCUUCCUUCCUUCCUUCCUUUCUUUCUUUCUUUCUUUCUUUCUUUCUUUCUUUCUUUCUUUCUUUCUUUCUUUCUUUCUUUCUUUCUUUCUUUCUUUCUUUCUUUCUUUCUUUCUUUCUUUCUUUCUUUCUUUCUUCCUUCCUUCCUUCCUUCCUUCCUUCCUUCCUUCCUUCCUUCCUUCCUUCCUUCCUUCCUUCCUUCCUUCCUUCCUUCCUUCCUUCCUUCCUUCCUUCCUUCCUUCCUUCCUUCCUUCCUUCCUUAUUGAAAAGCAUUUUUUAAGCACUUACUAUAUGCCAGCUGCUUUGCUAAGCUUCAUCAAUAUAAUACAGUCCCUGCCCUUAAGGAGCUUAG